rnacentral:lncRNA from 1 species
AUCUCAAUUUAUCUAUCGAUAGAAUUAAGGGACGAGAGCUUGGCCUCUUAUGAAUAAUAUUGACUUCUCAUUCCAUCAUCGCAAACUUACUAUAAGCUUUUAACAAGUCACUUUGCUUAGGCAGCUAGUAGCCGCAAUUUAUAUUCUGGAGGCAUUGAUCGUAAAUUUCUUCUUAUCUUUUAUGAUAUAAUAUUUCUUAUGCCAUCUUAGAAGACUGCAUCUCGAUUCUAAAGGUAUGAAUUCCUAAGAAUGC